UUUCCACACCUAACAGCAGAUCUCAAUAGCGAAUAAAGCUGGGAUUUAUCACAAACUGAAAUUGCUUUUGAUAGAAUAUAAGUGAUAUCUAGUUUUCUUGGAGAAGGAGCAAGGAGAAAUUCGACGACCUGGGGACCCACAAAGGAGAUGGGGAUGGUGGCAUCCUUGAAAAUUUGGGGCUCUGAUUUUGAGAACAGGCGGCGGAGCUCCUCUUGAUUGGCUUUUCUGCUAGGGAGCACCGACGAAUUGACUAGAAUGGCGUCUAGAGGAGUGGAGAGAGGAGGAUGAUGAUUAUCUUGAUGAAGAUGAAGAAGGGUUUUAAGAUGAUGAGAUAUCAUAUCUUUAAGGCCGCAAAUCAGCUUAAAAUUUUUGAAUCUGUUUCUAAUGCAACUCCCAACAAUGGCGGAUGAAAGAUGUAAGGUUUGUUUUGGUUGGUACGAAUCGCAUUUGUAGGAUAAUAUUUCUCUUUGAUUUAAGGGUUUUUUCUUUUUAUGAAAUAUAAUAAUAUGAUGUGUUUAUUGUGUUGCACUAUUUUUGUAAUUAUUUUAUUGAUACACUUCUCUUGUAAUUACUUAUUAAUUGUUGUAUAUUAUUGUAAAGAACCCAUUACUUUAUUGGUCAC
rnacentral:lncRNA from 1 species